rnacentral:piRNA from 1 species
GUAUUCCUCAGGUGAGAAUUCUUUG